GCAAGAAGGAGGGAAACUCUGUCUUGCUGAUUUCUUGCUCAAAAAGCAAUCCCGCUAGAUUCAGUUACCUUUCCUCAGGUAACGCUUGAAAGCUGCCUUCUCUACCAUGCCUGCAUUUCUCUCCCUCUUAAUCUCUGGUUUAAAAGACGCCGCAUUAAUUAAAAAAUGGCAUUUCAAUCUGUAUAUUUCCCCCUAUAUAUAGUUUUUUAAGGAUGCUUGAAAAAUCAAGGAAGGGCUCCUAUGGGUUUUCUUAUAUGGCUUUUGCCGGCGAGAAACAAACUGGAAGAAUUCCAGAAGUAUAAUUGCAUCAGGUUCUUGCGACCAAGAUGCUAGAGAACUAAAUGGAUAAACUGGUUUCUUGGUUGUGGCUUGGCAGAAUGUAGAAAUCCCAGUUGUUAGGUUGUCUUGUUCAGGAAACUCUGGUUUAUUGCAAUGUGUGUGUCUUUUUGCAUGAUCGCUGGGGGGCGGGGAGAGAAUGAGAUAGAGGGGAACUUUGAUGCAGGGUAGAUGUGCCAAUGUAUUAAAUUUUUCAUCGGGCAUUGCUAAAUUACCUUCACAGACAUAAACAUAAGCAUGGCGAGAUCUGUCAGGGACCAAGUACAAGAAGAUCUGGACAGACGGAACAAACAGGAUGAGUGUGGCCUUCCUUGUCCUUGGCAUGUCAUUUUCAAGCUGGAGGACGCGGAAGCAAAGUUGGAAUCCCGCCUCGCCCUUUUCCUAACCCCCGUAGAGUGUUUUAAUCAGCUCCCAUCUCAGCAUUCUUCUUCAGCCUGAAUAGCUGCUCCUCUAAUUGCCAGGCUUGCAUCAAAUGGAUUCUUUCUCCUACCAUGGAGAAAGGCUGGUUGAAAACGCCCUCUGGUUCUUCAUUUGCAAACCAUUAAAAAAAAGAAUAAGCACAAUUUUCACUCCAGCUUUUUCUAAGUACAGAGAAUCUAGGAGUUUACUGUUACCAAUCCGAAAUAAACGGUUUCUUCUU